GCGGAGCAUGCGGAUUAAUUCGAUGCAACGCGAAGAACCUUACCAAGGCUUGACAUAUACAGGAAAAGCGUAGAAAUACGCUCCCCGCAAGGUCUGUAUACAGGUGGUGCAUGGUUGUCGUCAGCUCGUGUCGUGAGAUGUUGGGUUAAGUCCCGCAACGAGCGCAACCCUCGUCCUAUGUUGCCAGCACGUAAUGGUGGGAACUCAUGGGAGACUGCCGGGGUCAACUCGGAGGAAGGUGGGGAUGACGUCAAAUCAUCAUGCCCCUUAUGUCUUGGGCUUCACGCAUGCUACAAUGGCCAGUACAAAGGGCUGCGAUACCGUAAGGUGGAGCGAAUCCCAUAAAGCUGGUCUCAGUUCGGAUUGAGGUCUGCAACUCGACCUCAUGAAGUCAGAGUCGCUAGUAAUCGUAGAUCAGCAACGCUACGGUGAAUACGUUCCCGGGCCUUGUACACACCGCCCGUCAAGUCACGAAAGUCGGUAACACCCGAAGCCGGUGGCCUAACCGUAAGGAAGGAGCCGUCGAAG
rnacentral:rRNA from 1 species